GCUACUAUCUGAAAUUAUAGAGGGGGUGAAUUGAACUUUUUCUUUUGUGAGUUGACUAUUGACCCUUCAUAGUCUACGCCUGCAGAUCAGAACACUUUACAAACAAAUUAAAUUCAAAAUAGUUAAGCAAGAAAACAAUAAAAAGUAAAGUAAUAACACAAAGAUUUAUCCUGAUUCGGUAUACCAAUGUAGUUCCUACGUUCAGUCCCCUUGGGUUUCAAAGUUUCCUUAGAUCGUUGAAAGUUUGGCUCGAGUACAAUGAUAGAAAAUAAGUUUCGAAGACUUAUUUUGCCCUUCAGAUCUUGUGAUACAACAUCAAUUGAUGUUACAAAGUUGACUCGAUCCUACUCUUUAUAACAAUUGUAAACUAAAUUUACAGAGCUUUGUAAGACUAAGAAUGAGACACUUUGAAUUUUCUCCUGGAAGUUGUGUAACUAGUGUCUGUCUUUGGUCUUCUUCUUUUAUAGUCUUCGGUUGCUACUUGUAAUAAGGAAACCUAGGAGAUUUCUUCACAAUCAAGGAUUUAAAUUGAUUCCUUGAUCGAGGAAAGUAGUCGUUUGAUGUUUCCAUCUUAGAUAUGUCCAUAUAAGGCUUUGGAUCACGUCCAUAUCAGAUAUGUUCGUGAUCUCUCAUUCCUUUUAGUUUUGAUGUCCAUGUGACAUUUGUCUUCUUUCUUCUUUUAUUUAGAUCCUGAUUGAUUUUCUAACUGAUCUAAUCUACCGUGAUUAUGGGAUGGUGAUUCUCUAUUCAUUUCUAAGAUAUUAAUUUGCUUGCCAUGCUUGUUUGAGUGUCGUGAUCUUCUUAUAACUGGAUGUCCUUCCUUUCCUAGAAGUCUUUAAUAUCUCACUUCCUUUAUUAUUUUACCAUCAGCAAUAUUCUAGUAUCUUUCAUCCUUUUUACUGCAAGGAUUCAUUUGUUAGUUUGUCAUUAUUAAAAGUUUACCUAAGGAGACUAACAAUCUCCCUCUUUUUGAUAAUGACAAACUUAAACAUCAGUUGACUUCCCUGUCUAUUUAGCUCCCCCUGUCUUACUGUCAUGGUGGUUGUAGUUGGCUCUGAUGUGAUGAUGGUCGACUUAGUUCCUCAUUUAAUUAACUGAUACAACUACUGUGCAACUUCUCCCUCUUUUGUCAUAAUACAAAAGGACAGAGCAAACAUAGCAAAGAGAAUAGCCCCAUCCACAAAAUAAAACAAAAAGGAAAGCAAGCCAAAAAUGACAACCCAAAAAGCAUAUAGUUUUAGACAUACAUAGUUAUGGUGACAACAAAAAUAUGUCAGAGAAGGAAUAUGAGUGUCUUUAUAUAGGCUAAAGUAUAAGAAGGGACAAACCUCCUUUUGAAUAAAAAAUGUUCAGCAACAUUUGACAAGGAAAUAAGUAAGAGUGUUGUGCACGUCAGAGCAGAAGCGAUCAUAAAAUUUCUCCACACUCUUGGUGAAGUUGGAGUAAGAAUUCUGAAUGGAGAUGGCAAGAUCAUUUGAGGAGGACGAGGAUUCAUACUUGAUGGACUCAACUUGAGAGAACAUCCUGUUAAACAAUUUCACCCCUUCCUAUUUGAAGCCAUCAAGGGAGAGUCGUACUUUACCUAUGUCGGUACCUGUCUCUUUUCCCUGCUGCAACAGCUUGGUAGUCGACUCCUUGAUGCUGGCUAUUCCUUCCUCGAUGUAAGUGAGCCUGAUCUUUAUUUCUUCAGCCUCUUUAUUUGUAUAAGACAUGGAUUUAGGAACAAGUUUACUUUUCCUGGAUGUGUCAGGUCGGCUCUUGACAGAUUCCUUUUUACACCAUUCUUUUUCAACCAAAACAUAUCCCAUGCUUGUGAAGGUUUUUAAAUUAUAGGUGGCAAAGACUUCUACCACUGGAUAGGCUGAAAGAUCAAUUCCACAGUGAAUAAAAAUAUGAGUGAUGAGCAACCUUAGGGUAAGCUUGAUGAGUCAUGGGAGUCAGUUGCACUUUCUAUCAUGUAUUCGCGAAUCCAGGCACUCCAAUUGAUUUUGUACAUUUUCAUCUAGUAGUAGAGAACAAAUACAUCUUUUCAAGUCAUAUUACUAAGAGAUCCCUGUUGAGGAAUUAAGGUGAUUGCAACAAUAUAAGCUAAAAUCUAUUGCAAAAAUUGAGGGACAGAGGAUAAAAGGUGAGGUUGUUCGUGUCAUGAUCUGAGACAGCCUUCUUUACUUCAUCAAAACUAAUUUCAAAAUUCUCAAGCCAGGUGUCGUUCAUGAAAGGGAUGACGCUAGAGAAUUUAGUGUCAAAAACUUUCUCAAAUAAGAAGUCAUUUAGAACAAUAGAGUACCAAGAAUCAGAGUUUCCAAUUCCCCACUGUCAGGGAAAAGACAAAGAUUGGUGAAAAACAUGCGGAUGGGAUCUUCAAAAAUUUUAAGGCCACAUAGGCGAAGCAUCAUCGACAAGUCUUGAGUUUUGAGAAAGUGUCUGAUAUUGCAGUGGGAUUCCAUUAGAAAAGAGAGAUUGAUGACUCAUCCAGAAACAAUGGAGCUAUUCUUGAAAGUGAGGAACUUCUCCUUGUGAGAGAGAGUCCAAAACUUAUGCAUAUCCUCUGAAGGGAGAGACUCUAGAGGAGAGGCUCUCCAUUUGAUAGAGGAUGACAUGGGACGAGGAGUGAAGCAUUUCUUGGACAUAGUCGAGUGGAUAGAGUGAGAGGAGUCUUCAUUAGAGGUUUCAGAGAGAAGGACAGGGUCAAAGUUGGAGGAAUUUAGGGUAGGGGAAAUUUUGGAGAGAUUAGACAUUGAUCGUAUGUUUUUCAUAGUGGAGAGUGAAAGGGAAUCGAUGGGUAUAAAAGGAAGAAAAGAAGUGGAAAAGAUAGGAUCAAGGAGGAGAGCCAAGGGUUAGGGUUGAAUAUGAAGGGACGGAGGGGUGUUAGAAAGAAAAAGGACAGAUAAGGUAAUGAUGAAGGGAGAGAAAAAGGUGGCAUGAGAGGGGGAAUAUUUGAAAGGAAAGGACGGAAGGUCAGAAGGCAAUUGACAAUUUUUUGUACCAAGAAAAAUUAAGAAAUCUUUUAGAGAAUCGAUAAUAUAUAUGGCACCGAGUUUUUCUACAAACAAAAUCCUAAUCAAUAAGAAAAAUAUAUAAUUUUUGGGAAAAAAAAAAGAACCAAGUAAAAAUAUUGUGACAAAAAAUAUGACUCAUGGGUUAUUAAAGUUGAAUCCUUUUGAAGAUCUUCCUUUUAGUAAAAAUAAAAUUGGACUAAGUAAAAUGAUUUGCAUCCAAAAAUAUGAUUCACAAAAUACUGACACCAAAUCUUUUUUUGAGAAAUCAAGUUUUUUGAUAAGAUCUAAUUUUCUUCAAGAUCAUGGACAACAAAGUUUGUAAAGCUAACAAUAAGAUACACCGAAUAAUUUGAAUGGAAAAUCAACAUAACAUUACCACAUGUUCUCAGGAUAACCUCAAGAGACAGAUUAAAAUCACAAAAUUCAGAGAAUUUAAGUACAACAACUUCCAAGAGUUAUGCAUAUUGCUCCGGUUGCUGAAGAAUCAACUGAAUUUUUUUCCUUGCUAAUCCAUGAGUUUGGGAUAUUCAUGGGACGAAGCUUUCAUCUAAAUGGAAAAAAUUCUCGUCAAGGAUUUUAUUGAUGUCAGUGCCUUCUGCCUUUAUUUCUAUUUGAAGAGUUUACUCUGAAGGGGGCAUAGUCGACUUCCGAAGACAUUGCCUCCAUCAUUGUCACUGAAUUUGACAGUUUUUUUGUCUAUAUUUUGUACAAACAGAUGAGACCUUUUUCGUUCCAACUAUACUUCUGGAACAUCCCCUAUUGAUCCCUAGAAUUUGCGGACAAGUUCCUGCAAAACAAGAAGAUUAAUUCUGAAUAGGUACCCAAGCGGUCUUGGGUCCUUGUAGGUUAGAUGUCUUUUCUUUGGGUUUCCAAACCCACAUACUUUUAGGCUUAUGCAACUGUAGGAUUUGUGCCUUCUUUGUCCACAAAUGAAACAAAUGAGCCCUUGAUAGGAGAUAGAGUUCUUAGUUGAUUUAAAUGACCCUGAUGAGGAACUCAAAUAGUUUUUGAAAGAGUUUGACCCUACGAAACUGUCUUGGAGAUGACUUAAAAUUGUUUAAUUUUAGUUUUGUCUUAUCAAUCUUUUCAUUGAGUAGGUCAAUCUCAAUUUGACAUGCCUCAAUUUCUAUUUUCCAGUUUCGUCGUGCCUCUUCCAAUUUUCGUUUAAGUCAAGCUUUGCAACUUUUCUUCUCUUGAGCAAGUUUGUUAUAUUCAUCUAUAACUUUUUAAAGCUUGUCGAUAAUCAUAUCUAAGUUAGAUUCAAGAGUGUUACAAUUAUAGCUAUCGUGUAGUCUUAUCUCGCAAGUCCUAAGGCUAGGUGGGGGGAUCAUUAUCAUCAUCGUCCAAGUCAUAGUAGGGCCCCAAGUGGUACUCUAAGGACCCAUCCGAUUGAUGCCCCUAGUGAUCUUCAUUUUCCUCGCCACCGAACCCUAUUGGUCCAUAUUUUUUUCUUCGAGGUCUUAUUUCUUCUCUUCUGUCAGCUCCCCUUUUUGUUCCUCCAUCGGAUCCUCUUUCGGAUCUUUCUCAAGGUCUUCUUCGGGGUCUUUUUCCAUUUUCUCCUUGGGGUCUUCUUUCAUUCCCCUUCGAAUUCAUCGUCUACUGCAUGGAUGAGAUGAUCCGCUGAUCCUAGGAUCACCUGCUUGUACAUGGCGGUGGUCACGAGCCUAAGGUGCAAUAGCUGGUCUUGGAUCUGAUUUGCUCUAUGAGUAUUUGCAAGCCCUUGGAGUGACUCAUAGCUCGAUCGGGACAAAAUUCCUCCCAAUAUAUACCAUGUGUAGUACUCAGGGGUGCAGUAUGGAUUGCCGUUCAUGCCCAAACUAAAGAUUUGUCACCAUCUAUUAAUCAAAUUGUCGAGCCUCUCAAUGGGAAUUUUUCCCUCAUAGUCUCCUUCUGCUAACGCCAUAUCCAACCAUAGAGGCUCAUUAUAAAUCAUGCCGAACUAUCGUAGAACUCUCAAUGGCGCAUAUGGCUGGAUCCCCUCCAAGCUAAUUAACUUAAGGAAGUAAUAGUAAUGCCUUCUCAGCAUUACUCAACCGCUAACCCAUGGUAGCCUCCACUGGAUGAGGUUAUUGGUGAGGUGGGUUAAGAAGGCACACCACUACUCCUCAUUAUUUGGCAUGUCCCAUAUAGCUACCCUAAGUGUGUGGCUACGAAUCUGGUUGAACCCCGUCUCCCUGAUGCUAUCUCUGAAACAAAAGUGUUCUAAUGCCCAUACUUGGAGUAUUAGAUUGCAACAUCUAAAGAAAUCAUACCCUCCAGAACAUACAGACAGUGAUCGAAAGACUUUAAUUAAAAUCAUCAGUACAAUCGUAACUCGGAUUGGUCCCUGCGCAUAAAUAUGGUCAUAGAAAGAAAGUAAGUGAAUGUUGAUUUGGUCCCCUCUUAUUGGGAAUACCAUAACACCGAGGAAUGCCACCAUGAAAACAAUGUCUCUGUGUCUCUCCCAGCCGAUCCUGGUUAAGAAGAAUUCAUCCUGAAAUCAGUCAUAGCUCUUCCUCCAACCGAACCUCUCAAAAAGAUAACUCAGGCUUACCCAGCCUGCCUCAACCAUCCUCAAACCUGUGCCAACUCUCAAUCCUAUUGCGCGAAGGAAAUCGCUCCAUUAAGUAGUGUGUGGGGUCAAAGGUACUCGCCUCGUCAAUGGCAAGUUAGCUAUAUGACUGAUCUCCUCUAAGGUAGGUGUAAUCUCAAAAUCUGUAAACCUAAAAGUGACUAUAGUCGGGUCCUAGAAUUCGACCAGCAAUAGGAUAAGCAACUCGUCCAUCCUUAACUCUAUUAGAUCAGUCAAGGACCCCAAAUGUACCAAUACUUCCUCCCCGUGGGCUACUUAGAUGUUGCCCCACAGUGUUUUAGGCUCUGUGGAACAUCGGUCAACAUGCGGAUGUUAGCUAGGUUCUGGUUAAUUUCCAUCCGUGCAAAGAAAAGGCAAGGUAAGUUUAAUGUCCUGAAUUCAUUACGAUCUUAACAUUUGGAUCAAUUAGUCAUUUUCACACAUAUAGCGUCGUUGGGUUCAUGAAGAAACCGUUGACACAAAGGGUGGUUCUCUAAAUGCGGAAAUGAUACCUUGGACCAUUACGCCUAAGGUAUAUGCAAUAUGAUCUAUUACUAGAGUAGAAUUUUUUCCUAAAUUUUUAAGAGUGGGACUGAAUAGUUGCGAGAUGGUACACUAACCUAAUUGCACUGCCUCUGAAACUAAGGAAUCCAAAGAAGGUUUGAAAGAGUGCAGUACACUCCUCGCGUGUUCAGUGUGUGAAUUGUGUACGACCAAAACUCGAUAAAAAGAGUACAAGUUAUAAAGUAGUAUCAAAUAGUGUUGUCCAAACAAGUAAAGAACGCAAGUUUGGAUUUGGCUUGCAUCCUUUCGCAGAAAGCAUGGUAUAAAGACAGGUAAAGCAAAUAACAUAAUAAAAGCACGAAAAUUCUAAACUAAGCAUGUUAAGGUUAAAACCUAAGUUCAUUAAUUCCCCAGCAGAGUCGCCAGUCUAUCGCGCCCUAUUUUAAAUUGGUCAAAACAGCACACAACGUAUGGUGAUGUGUCGUGACUCUUGGGUUUAGAAAAUUCAUUUUUAGAGUCGACACCUAACUUUUUAGAAAAAUUAGGAAAAAUUAUUUUUUUUAUUGUAGAACUCUAUUUUAGUCUAUCGAAAAUAUUUGAGAUUAUGAAUAAGGAUUUUGGUUAUUCGAGGGGAAGGUGUUAGGUACCCCUCAGAGCUUAUCUGAAGAUAGUCCUUACACUUAGUUUUAGGAAAAAAUUAUUGCUUCAUUAUUUGCUAAAAAGGGGUGAUAAGAAAUCCUUUUUGUACAUAUUUUUAUUAUUGUUAUAUUGUUUAUGAAAAAAGGAAAGAAAUUUAGGGUACAGUAAACGUGCCGCUACCGUGCCCGAGGAGGUAAUAUCAUCAUUAAAACAUGGAAAGAAGUAAUCUCUUUGUUAUAAUUGUAAUGAUUAAAAAUAUUAAACCUUGUUAUCUUUAAAGUGCAUGGGGUGAAUGUACGAAUAAAAUUUAUCAUAAGAUAAAAGAACUAUUCUAAAACUUUGAAAGAAUCUCUUGAAGACGGGCGAAAAAUAUAGAAACAUUUAGAAAUAUGAUAAUCUAAUAACGAUAACGAUAAUAAUAAUAAUAAUAAUAACAACGAUAAUAAUAAUAAUAGCGAUGAUGACGAUAAUAAUGAAAUUAAAUUAGAUAAAUAUUAAUGACAAUAUUAGUAAUGAGCAAUACUAAUAAUGAUGAAAAUAACUAUUAUAAUAGUAGUGAAAAUAAUAAGAUAUACCUUGUAUACAGUAGCGUAACACAUAUAUACCUUGUGUUUUUGGGAACUUUUAAAAUCUGAAAGAACUUGAAAUAAUGUGAAGAAAUAAAUAAGGGAAAUAGCGAAUGAAAAUUGCCCUUUUUCAAUUGGCCAGUGAAUUACUUGUAAACCUUUUUGUAUUGGAUUUUUAAAAACCCCAAACUUUCCUUUUAUUCUAAUAGAUUUUCUCUGUGGGCACAAAAGUAUAAACAUAUGAAUAUUAGAUAAUUUACCGUUAUUAUAUUGUUAACGACCUAGUGAACAUGAUAUUGAACGGACCAGGUCAAUUCUAGGUGAUUUGAGAUUUGUACAGAACUAGAUAAAGUAAAAUUAAUCACUUUCAAUCAAUCCUCACAAAUAACAUAUUCGAAGUAAUAACCCAUCACAAUAAUAUGCUAAACUAUUUUUAUAUGUAUAUAUAAGGCGAGCUUUUAUUUGAAACUUCAAUCUCGAGUUCACAUGUAAAAGAAAUAAGGAGUUAGAAAAUGAUUCAAGUUCUACUAAAUGAAUGAACAUGAAAUAAAAAAUAACAAAGACAUGAGUUUAUAAUACAUGUAAAUAACCAUCAAAAAGCGAACACGUUACCAUACAUGGAACGAUGCGUGCACCCACGAAUGUGUUCUUCUAAUCUAAUUUUAGGCAAGGUUAUAAAAAGGGGUAAUGCUAAAUUUGCAGAGUUAUCACAACUUUAACCAUAUUUUUUAUAUUUGCAGAGAGAAAUCAUGGCACUAAUUAAGGAGCGAUUAACAAUUCUAAAGGUGAAGAUUAGGUGGCUUGUAAGACUAAUAUUCACUUAGCCAUGCUUAUAUGUUUAUCAUGCACAUAUUUUCAUGAUUCCUAGAUACAUUUCAUAUCUUAUAGAUCUAGGCAUGUGAAUAAUCUUUAUCACUGCACACAUACAAUUAAUAGUGGCUCUCAACUAACUUCUCAGCAGAUAUACCAUCACUAGGCAAGGAAUGUGCUUUUACUAAAUGUUCAUCAUCCUCUUUGUAAAAUAUAUUUAUUUUAAAGAAACUGACAGAUAUAGGAUGCUAUAUCCUAACUUUGGCAGAUUAAUAUAAAACUACACUUAAACUUGAAAUCCAACAACAAAGAAUUAAACUAAAACAUACAAUUGGACUUGAAAACAAACAACAUGGGACUUGAAAACAAGAAGUAAAGGGAGAUCAAUUUCCACAUAACCAUACACCAUGUAAAGACUAAAUCAAAGAUAGAUAUUUCACACCUCACGUAGCUUGAACUCAAAACAACCAUGUAUUAAAAUAAUUUAAGACAAAAAAUAUAUUUUAAACUCGAUUCACGAAGGUCGAGAAAGGAGUUUCAACAUCGCUGCUCACGACGGGAUCAAAACAGUAAACCAGGGGAAUCAAAUAUCUAUCAACAAGUUUCUUUAAACUUUAGUUUGUAAAAUAGGCAGCGACUCUAAUUGAGUAGCCACGUAUAUCCCAUAAUUCCGCAAAUAAACCGUACUCACGAAUUUGAUUUGUAGGUAAAAAAAAUAUUUUCAAGACUAAAUUUGGACCGUAUUUUUGACAUGGUUGCAGACUUAGAGACACACCAAAAUAGAUUUUGAGAAAAAAUUUAUCAUCAACACUCUUAUUUGCAGCAUCAAAACAACAACAACAACAACACUCACAAUCAAAAAUGGAUUCGGCAUUCACAAAACCAGAACGUAAAAUAGUCAUACUUUCAUCUGUAAUACCCAAAACAACGGCAACAAUGCCAUAACCAGAAUCAAAACUAAAGAACGACAUACGUUUUAGGUCCCUAGUUUUAUAUAGGCAGACAUAAUAUCAAGUGUAGACGCAAAUACUUGUUUAAACAGGCAUGACCAUAACAACAAAAUUUAAUGACAAAACUGCAUGUCCCAAAAAAAACAAGAUGAAGAGAAGAUAGAGCAAAAGGGUGAAUUCAUACCUUGUAUUGCGCAGCAAAUUGAGGCUCCGACGGCAAGGCUUCGGCAACAAACAAAACCCAAAACUCGGACUGACCCCUCUUCUUUUUGUUUUACUUUUCUCUUCCUCUGAGAUUUAAACUUUCCCAAACCUCUUUUGCCCCUCCAAAAAACCUCCCUUCUAUCUAAUUUCUUUUUUUUUCUUUUAAGAUCAAUUGCCUUUUCUCUCCGACUUUCUUCCUAUUUUCCUCAAUGCUAAUUCUUUUUCCUCUAACACAAAUUUUUCCUUUCUUCCCCAAUCUCUCGCUGCUACUCCUGAGAAUGGAAAUUUUUGGGCUAUUUAUAGCCAAAAUUUGGACUGUAAAGUCUAGACUCAAAACACAUUUUAUGGAGAUGAGAUUUGAAUUCAAAAAUUAUGACGUCGAUCUACAAAUUUCAGCCACUAUCAAGCUUUAGUUGCGAAUUCAAAGAAAGUUUCCAUUGUUGCAUGAAUUAGGGACUGACUUUCUCUGAUUUUUGGCGAUUUACGGGCUUGGGGGUGAUGAAAAUGGAAGAUUCGCAUGGGUAGGUGGCAGGCGGUGGUGACGCAGCCUAAACUCUAGGUCUCCGAUUUGAGGGGUGGUGGCGGAGAGGGGUGAGGGAGAGAGGAGGAGAGGUGGGUCAUCCAUGGUUGCGUUUUGCAAAAUAGAUG
rnacentral:lncRNA from 1 species